GUGCCAGCAGCCGCGGUAAAACGUAGGUGGCGAGCGUUAUCCGGAUUUACUGGGCGUAAAGGGUGUGCAGGCGGGGUCUCAAGUGGUGUGUGAAAUCGCCCGGCUCAACCGGGCGAGGUCAGGCCAGACUGAGGCUCUGGAGUGCGGGAGAGGGGCGUGGAAUUCCGGGUGUAGUGGUGAAAUGCGUAGAGAUCCGGAGGAACCCCAGAGGCGAAGGCGGCGCCCUGGCCCGACACUGACGCUGAGACACGACAGCAUGGGGAGCGAACGGGAUUAGAAACCCUUGUAGUCC
rnacentral:rRNA from 1 species